GACGAACGCUGGCGGCGCGCUUAACACAUGCAAGUCGUGCGGUGUCGAAGGCAAGUCUUACGACAAGCCUUCGACACAGCGGCGAACGGGUGAGUAACACGUGAGUAGCUGUCCUAAGGAGGGGGAUAACGCCUGGAAACGGGUGCUAACACCCCAUAUGCCUCGCAAGAGGUGAAAGUGUACUUGCUACAGCCUUAGGGUGUGCUCGCGGCCUAUCAGCUAGUUGGUGAGGUAACGGCUCACCAAGGCUAAGACGGGUAGCCGGCCUGAGAGGGUGUACGGCCACACUGGAAUUGAGAUACGGUCCAGACUCCUACGGGAGGCAGCAGUGGGGAAUCUUGGGCAAUGGGCGAAAGCCUGACCCAGCGACGCCGCGUUGGGGAUGAAGCCCUUCGGGGCGUAAACCCAUGUUGUAGGGGACGAAGAAACGUGACGGUACCCUACGAGAAAGCCCCGGCCAACUACGUG
rnacentral:rRNA from 1 species